rnacentral:rRNA from 1 species
UACGUAGGGUGCGAGCGUUAAUCGGAAUUACUGGGCGUAAAGCGCACGUAGGCGGCUUUGUAAGUUAGAGGUGAAAGCCCGGGGCUCAACCCCGGAAUUGCCUUUAAGACUGCAUCGCUUGAACGUCGGAGAGGUGAGUGGAAUUCCGAGUGUAGAGGUGAAAUUCGUAGAUAUUCGGAAGAACACCAGUGGCGAAGGCGGCUCACUGGACGACUGUUGACGCUGAGGUGCGAAAGCGUGGGGAGCAAACAGG